rnacentral:rRNA from 1 species
AACGAACGCUGGCGGCAUGCCUAAUACAUGCAAGUCGAACGAGAUCUUCGGAUCUAGUGGCGCACGGGUGCGUAACGCGUGGGAAUCUGCCCUUGGGUUCGGAAUAACUUCUGGAAACGGAAGCUAAUACCGGAUGAUGACGUAAGUCCAAAGAUUUAUCGCCCAAGGAUGAGCCCGCGUAGGAUUAGCUAGUUGGUGGGGUAAAGGCUCACCAAGGCGACGAUCCUUAGCUGGUCUGAGAGGAUGAUCAGCCACACUGGGACUGAGACACGGCCCAGACUCCUACGGGAGGCAGCAGUAGGGGAAUAUUGGACAAUGGGCGAAAGCCUGAUCCAGCAAUGCCGCGUGAGUGAUGAAGGCCUUAGGGUUGUAAAGCUCUUUUACCCGGGAUGAUAAUGACAGUACCGGGAGAAUAAGCUCCGGCUAACUCCGUGCCAGCCGCCGCGGUAAU